UGGUCGUUUAGUGGGCAUCUUGACGUUCUUUUUUCUCCAAGUUUCGACAAAUUCUUUAUCUCCCGCAGUCAUCAAAGUAUUAAGAUUGUCUUUGAGAACUUUGUUUCUUUUCCCCCCCAACUUUUUCAAGUCAUCUGUAAUCGGGUAAACUGACAAUUAGACAUGGGUCUUCUCCCCGUCGCUUAUAUGCCGUUUACCAUGACUGACAGUCCUCGAAAUUAGCGAUGGCAAACGGCAAUUG